UACGUAGGGUGCAAGCGUUUGUCCGGAAUUAUUGGGCGUAAAGAGCUCGUAGGCGGUCUGUCGCGUCGGAAGUGAAAACCCGGGGCUCAACCCCGGGCCUGCUUUCGAUACGGGCAGACUAGAGUUCGGCAGGGGAGACUGGAAUUCCUGGUGUAGCGGUGAAAUGCGCAGAUAUCAGGAGGAACACCGGUGGCGAAAGGCGGGUCUCUGGGGCCGAUACUG
rnacentral:rRNA from 1 species